GCAGCUUUUCUCCGUGAGCGGUUCCCCCCCGGCCGCCCCGGUUCCUUUGCUGUUCCCUUUGUCUUCCUUUCCUCUUCCUCUCCCCCCGCGCUCGCAAGCACCCCGAGCCGAGGUCCGGUUGCGCGGUGUUCGGGAGCGCGGCAGGGCGGGUGGCGUCGUUGCUGCUGUGCCUCACGUCCCAUAACCUUUCACCCCAACUCCGAUGCUUUUCCUAGUCAUGGCGAAGGAGCCAAUUAUGAGGUUAUCUGAAGCAGAAGAUUGUGGUGACUCUCUUCUUGGUCCUUUAAUGAUCGUUGUCGAGAAGCGUGCUGCGUACCUGGGACUGACCAAGGGAUUCCGGAUGGUUGUGGAU